GAUGAACGCUGGCGGCGUGCCUAAUACAUGCAAGUCGAGCGAACAGACGAGGAGCUUGCUCCUCUGACGUUAGCGGCGGACGGGUGAGUAACACGUGGAUAACCUACCUAUAAGACUGGGAUAACUUCGGGAAACCGGAGCUAAUACCGGAUAAUAUAUUGAACCGCAUGGUUCAAUAGUGAAAGACGGUUUUGCUGUCACUUAUAGAUGGAUCCGCGCCGCAUUAGCUAGUUGGUAAGGUAACGGCUUACCAAGGCGACGAUGCGUAACCGACCUGAGAGGGUGAUCGGCCACACUGGAACUGAGACACGGUCCAGACUCCUACGGGAGGCAGCAGUAGGGAAUCUUCCGCGAUGGGCGAAAGCCUGACGGAGCAACGCCGCGUGAGUGAUGAAGGUCUUCGGAUCGUAAAACUCUGUUAUUAGGGAAGAACAAAUGUGUAAGUAACUAUGCACGUCUUGACGGUACCUAAUCAGAAAGCCACGGCUAACUACGUG
rnacentral:rRNA from 1 species